CAUCGAUGAAGAACGCAGCGAAAUGCGAUAAGUAAUGUGAAUUGCAGAAUUCCGUGAAUCAUCGAAUCUUUGAACGCACAUUGCGCCCCCUGGUAUUCCGGGGGGCAUGCCUGUUCGAGCGUCAUUUCAACCCCUCAAGCCCGGCUUGUGUGAUGGA
rnacentral:rRNA from 1 species